rnacentral:lncRNA from 1 species
UGGAUUCAGAGCAUGGGUUUGUUUACAAAGCGAAAGAAACGUCAUUUUAGAAUUAACAGUUUUCCCACUAAUUCCACGUUUUUCAAGUGAUAAUAAACUUGUAGUAGCCCAACAUGCAGUGUAGUUAGUUUGGGUCGAUUGGUCAGUCUUUUCAGGCUAUGUGUACCUCCUUUUUGGGAAAUUACUAUAUGCAAAUAUAUUCUAACGUGUUCCGACCUGUUUAAAUUGUACAAUUUACCCGGCAUACCUUUCAGUUUUAGUUGGUGUACAAAAUGCAUCAUCACCGA